AUAAAACAGAAAUAUUAUUAAUGUUGUGGAAUAGUGGAGAAAGUUCUACGUGAUCAAAAUUAAAUUUUUUCUUGGAUCUUUUUAGAAAUUCCCAGAAAGUAUCGAUAACUUGUGACAAAUCAAAGAUCAAGAUCUUUAGGACCACAUAAAAAAAUCGGUGGCACCUCUAAGAGAUUAAACUCACCCAUUCAUAGUGACGCUAAGAAAGAAAGAAACAGAACCGAUAAUUGCUCUCAACUCAAAGGAAUGUUCAAGAAUGAAAUGUAUUAGAAAUUAAACAAGUUUCUGAAAAAUAUUUUUUCGGGAAGAUAGUACAGGUCGAAGAACCAAGUCUCAUACCAACCCCAGUCUCAUUACAACCCCGUCUCGUACUUGUUGUUGGUUAUACUAUUAUUCUACUUUCCAAGAUUAAAAUUUUUUUUUACGAAAUCGAAUUUAUUUUAUAAUAUAGAUUUAUUUUUUG